GUGGAUAACCUGCCUCAAGGCUGGGGAUAACAUUUGGAAACAGAUGCUAAUACCGAAUAAAACUUAGUAUCGCAUGAUAUCAAGUUAAAAGGCGCUACGGCGUCACCUAGAGAUGGAUCCGCGGUGCAUUAGUUAGUUGGUGGGGUAAAGGCUUACCAAGACGAUGAUGCAUAGCCGAGUUGAGAGACUGAUCGGCCACAUUGGGACUGAGACACGGCCCAAACUCCUACGGGAGGCUGCAGUAGGGAAUCUUCCACAAUGGGCGCAAGCCUGAUGGAGCAACGCCGCGUGUGUGAUGAAGGCUUUCGGGUCGUAAAGCACUGUUGUAUGGGAAGAAAUGCUAAAAUAGGGAAUGAUUUUAGUUUGACGGUACCAUACCAGAAAGGGACGGCUAAAUACGUGCCAGCAGCCGCGGUAAUACGUAUGUCCCGAGCGUUAUCCGGAUUUAUUGGGCGUAAAGCGAGCGCAGACGGUUGAUUAAGUCUGAUGUGAAAGCCCGGAGCUCAACUCCGGAAUGGCAUUGGAAACUGGUUAACUUGAGUGUUGUAGAGGUAAGUGGAACUCCAUGUGUAGCGGUGGAAUGCGUAGAUAUAUGGAAGAACACCAGUGGCGAAGGCGGCUUACUGGACAACAACUGACGUUGAGGCUCGAAAGUGUGGGUAGCAAACAGGAUUAGAUACCCUGGUAGUCCACACCGUAAACGAUGAAUACUAGGUGUUAGGAGGUUUCCGCCUCUUAGUGCCGAAGCUAACGCAUUAAGUAUUCCGCCUGGGGAGUACGACCGCAAGGUUGAAACUCAAAGGAAUUGACGGGGACCCGCACAAGCGGUGGAGCAUGUGGUUUAAUUCGAAGCAACGCGAAGAACCUUACCAGGUCUUGACAUCCUUUGAAGCUUUUAGAGAUAGAAGUGUUCUCUUCGGAGACAAAGUGACAGGUGGUGCAUGGUCGUCGUCAGCUCGUGUCGUGAGAUGUUGGGUUAAGUCCCGCAACGAGCGCAACCCUUAUUGUUAGUUGCCAGCAUUCAGUUGGGCACUCUAGCGAGACUGCCGGUGACAAACCGGAGGAAGGCGGGGACGACGUCAGAUCAUCAUGCCCCUUAUGACCUGGGCUACACACGUGCUACAAUGGCGUAUACAACGAGUUGCCAACCUGCGAAGGUGAGCUAAUCUCUUAAAGUACGUCUCAGUUCGGACUGCAGUCUGCAACUCGACUGCACGAAGUCGGAAUCGCUAGUAAUCGCGGAU
rnacentral:rRNA from 1 species